UGGAUGGCAUUGGCUCUGAAGAUUUGCUCGUUUGAACCAGAAAUCAGUCGGCUGGAAGUAGUUUCCACGAAUCAGUGCUACAUGUUUGAGACGAUGAUAAUGUUGACAAAGUGCGUGUUACUGAGUGCUGCAAAUUAAUUUCGAGCCUUCGAAGACUGGUAGAAUCAGCCGAUAGGCCGGUGAGAAGCAGUCAUCCCAAGUACCGCCUUGUACCGGGAGUUAGGAGAAGAGGGGUACCGGGAAACUGCCGAAGAGAAGAGACUAGAGAGAAAGGUUCCGACGCACAAGCCAGGUGUUAAACCCCAGGUCUGCUUAGGACCCAAAUUCAGCUUGUGAAAAUGAAGGCUGAAACAAAUCCGACCGUUACUACCAGGCAGCUCAUGGAGAAAAAUCCUGAUCUUAUCUGCGGCAAAGAGCUGCUGGGUUUAACAGAAACCCAGAAAAAGAAAGGGCAUUCUUAUGUUGAUGUUCAUCACGAAUGGGGUUUAAAUGAGUUGAAAAAUGCUCAAGUGUUGCAACCAUUAAAUUUAAGGCUGACGGAUGAUGAUGAAAAAGUUUCAUUUCCUUUGGUGAACGGUUGAUUCGAAAAAAAUUAAUGGAACCGGUCCCAAAGCGUAUUAGAUUCUACAUGAAGUGUCAUGCAGGACAUAAGAAGUGUCAGUGCAUUAUUAGGAGCCUUCAACUGAUUAUCUGCAAACAUGUUUGUCAUAGCAGCUAACACAAAAUAGUUUGGCGGUCGGCAGCAAAUAAAAAAUUUUGGACUGGCCAGAUCUGGCCUCCCAUGGAAAUUUGGUAACAUGCGAAGAAGAUGGACCUGAAAUCUCCAGUCUUGUGAUAAUGAAGUUGCAGAUUGGAAGGAAAUUCGGUAAAGACUCACGUUUUCCAAAUUUUUUGGGAUCAAAGAGAGCGAACUCUUCCAUACGUAACCUCGCCGCCGUCAAAGCAUUACGAACGUCUAGACGUCUAGGCUAUAAGAUACAACGUACAAUAUCGCGAUAGUGUUCAGUUGCCUGCCUUAUUCUUAUACUCAUACAUGUGUACAAAAAUUCAUACACACAUACACAGGCGCGCGUGCACACACACAUGUAUGUAUGGAUAUAUAUCUACAUAUAUAAUUAUAUUUAGGUUUAUUUACGAAUAUUUGGAAAGCAAAGUGUUCUACUCAAUGGACGUAUCAUAUGCAGUUUGGAGUCGCAAUCCAGAAAUGCUCUCGACUAUCAUACGUAUUUUAAUAUGUGACAAAUAUUUAAACAUUUCAAAACCCGGAAAGAGGAGUGAAUAAUUUUCAAAUAUGAUUUAUUCGUGUGGUACUGAUUUAUCUUUAUUUCAACAAAUAGUUUUGUAACAAAAAUGAGGCAGUGAAAUGGAUAAUGUUAGGCUUGGGGUUAUGUCACUGACUAAAUAAGAUGAGAGAAAAAAAGAUUGGAAUUUAUAAAAAGAAAAUAAAAUAAAAUAACUAGGAGUCUGGUGUGACGAAUAUGUUUCUGUUUGAAAAUCCCUAUUACGUACUUAAAUCAAGUACUACCGCAAAUAUAUACGGAAAAUGACUAUGAUAACUGAUGUUUAUGCAUCAGAGUUCGUGGGUGAGAAAAUGUCCAUUCAGAGCAUCGAUGGCUAAAGUGUGCCUCCAAAUUGGUGGACUGCCGAAGGCUCUCUCUUUCUCUCUCUCUCCCCGUCGCGCCUCAGUGAGAGAAGCCAUCUUUUAUCAUGCAUUAUUUUUGCAUUUACUCACUUUCGGUAAAAGCCUCUUUGAUCGAACCAGGACUCAGCAAAUGUCGAGGCGUGCAUUUUCAUUUAUGGCAUUCAGUUUGUGAAUGGUAUCGUACGGAAGUAAUUUAACAUUCUAACUAUUCUGAAAAACAAAAAUAAUGCAUGCAGCGCAAUGAAAUACUAAUUUUAGUGCGUACCUUUGACCGUUUAACAAAGGCUAAGAAAUAUUACAAAAAUCAUUAUUCAACUUACGAUUAUUAUAAGUGUGUUCAACUUAGCUCAACAUGGCGCUACUCUCACCAGUCCCUGUCUCUUAGUGUACUAAUAGAAUCCCAAAUGUUUAGACGUAGCACGAAGAGGAUGAAAAGAACAUUACACUUUUACCACACUACAACAGCUUCUAGCAUCAUCGUAUCUGUUGAGAUAAUAACAUAAAAUUUCCCUAACUGAACUUUUAACCCAAGCGUUCGUUGAACGAAGGUCAUGACCUUAAAUCAGCUCUAAGGACUGCAAUAGA